rnacentral:sRNA from 12 species
UCAUACGGAGAGAAGCGUGGUCUGAGACUGACGCUUUCGAGCGACCACAGCCAAUGCGACCUUAACCUGAAAGGACGCGCUUUAGAGCGGUAACCCCCCUGAACCUUUGAGAGUGGGGAUCGCAGUUUAUU